UCUGGCCGGAGCCGCCUUUCUGCCUUCCCAUGCUGCCCAGAGGUCUGGAGUGGCUGGGGGGGUGCGGAACGCCUGCAAGCAUUCCGCCCUGUCCCCGGGCACUUGGCACCUGUGUAUGCAAAUUAACCUGCCAUCUUUGUUGGGUUAAUUUGCAUACUUACUCCUGAUUGGCUGGUGGGCGUCGCGAAGACACAGAAACCUCGAAAGUUUGACUGUGAGCUUCCAGAUAUUUCAUUAAAAGAUUUACAGUUUCUGCAAUCACUUUGUCCUUCAGAAGUUCAGCCAUUCCUCAGGGUCCCCUUACUCUGUGACUUUGAACCUCUACACCAGCAUGUACUUUCUCUACAUAACUUGGUAAAAGCAGCACAAAGUUUGGAUGAAAUGUCACAGACCAUUACAGAUCUACUGAGUGAACAAAAGGCAUCCAUGAGUCAGACAUCCCCACAGUCGACUUCCUCACCAAGAGUAGAAAGUGCAACAGGAAUUACAACAACUACCUCACCAAGAACUCCUCCUCCACUCACUGUGCAGGAUCCCUUAUGUCCUGCAGUAUGUCCCUUAGAAGAAUUGUCUCCAGAUAGCAUUGAUGCACAUACAUUUGAUUUUGAAACUAUCCCCCAUCCAAACAGAGAACAGACUAUUCACCAAGUUUCAUUAGAUUUGGAUUCAUUAGCAGAAAGUCCUGAAUCAGAUUUUAUGUCUGCUGUGAAUGAGUUUGUAAUAGAAGAAAAUUUAUCAUCUCCUAAUCCUAUAAGUGAUCCACAAAGUCCAGAAAUGAUGGUGGAAUCACUUUAUUCAUCAGUUAUCAAUGCAAUAGAUAGUAGACGUAUGCAGGAUACAAAUAUAUGUGGUAAAGAGGACUCAGGAGAUCAUGUGUCUCUAAAUGUCCAGUUGGAAAAAUGUAGGGUUGUUGCCCAAGACUCACAAUUAACUAUACAAACCAUCAAGGAAGACCUUUGCCACUUCAGAACAUUUGUACAGAAAGAACAGUGUGACUUCUCAAAUUCUUUAAAGUGUAUAGCAAUAGAAAUAAGAAACAUUAUUGAAAAGGUAAAAUACUCUGUGGAAAUAACACUAAAUGAAAAACAUCAGAAAGAAUUGCAGUCUUUAAAAAGUGAUUAUGAAGACAAACUUGUUGCACUAAUAAAAGACAGUGAAGAAAAUGAAAACAAAAUUAAAAAGCUUAAAGGAGACUUAGUAUGCCUUGAGGAGGUGUUACAAAAUAAAGAUAAUGAAUUUGCUUUGGUUAAGCAUGAAAAAGAAGCUAUCAUCUGCCUGCAGAAUGAAAAGGACCAGAAGUUGUUAGAAAUGGAAAACGUAAUGCACACUCAAAAUUGUGAAAUUAAAGAACUGAAGGAGUCACGAGAGAGAGUGUUAAAAGACUUUAAAAAGCUCCAUGUUGAAAAUGAUGAGAAGAUCCAGUUGUUGAGGACAGAACUGCAGAGCUUAGAGCAAAGUCAUUUAAGGGAAUUAGAGGACACCCUGCAUGUCAGGCACACACAGGAGUUCGAGAAAGUUAUGACAGACCACAAAGAUUCUUUGGAGAAAUUAAAAAAUGAAAAUCAACAAAGAAUUGAUCAGAUACAAGAGUCCCAUGCCACAAUUAUCCAGGAAAAAGAGCGACAGCUACAGGAGUUAAAACUCAAGGUUUCAGAUUUGUCGGAUAUGAGAUGUAAGUUAGAGGUUGAACUUGCAUUGAAGGAAGCAGAAACUGAUGAAAUAAAAAUUUUGCUGGAAGAAAGUAGAACCCAGCAGAAUGAGACCUUAAAAUCUCUCCUUGAACAAGAGACGGAAAAUUUGAGAACAGAGAUAAGUAAACUAAACCAAAAGAUUCAGGAUAACAAUGACAAUUAUCAGGUGGGCUUGGCAGAGCUAAGAACUUUAAUGACAAUUGAAAAAGAUCAGUGUAUUUCAGAGUUAAUUAGUAGACAUGAAGAAGAAUCUAAUAUGCUUAAAGCUGAAUUAAACCAGGUAACAGCAUUGCAUCAUCAAGCAUUUGAAAUAGAAAAAAACCUGAAAGAAGAAAUAGUUGAACUGCAGGGUAAAUUGGACUCUGCAUUGAGUGCGCUUGAAAAACAAAAAGCUGAAAAACUCACCCAACAAGAAGAGAAGUAUGAAGCUGUUAUCCAGAAACUUGAGAAAGACAAAGAGAAAUUCAUAAUGAACCAGGAACAAGACAGAGAAGAGUUAAUUCAGAAGCUUAAUAGUGAAAAAGAAGAAGCUAUUCAGACGGCCCUAAAUGAAUUUAAAUUGGAGAGAGAAGCUGUUGAGAAAGAGUUAUUAGAAAAAGUUAAACAUCUUGAGAAUCAAAUAGGAAAAAGUUCUGCCAUUGAAUCUACCAGAGAAGAUUCUUCAAGCCUGGUUGCUGAACUUCAAGAAAAGCUUCAGGAAGAAAAAGCUAAGUUUUUAGAACAACUUGAAGAACAAGAGAAAAGAAAAAAUGAAGAAAUGCAAAAUGUUCGAACAUCUUUGAUUGCUGAACAGCAGACCAACUUUAACACUGUUUUAACAAGAGAGAAAAUGAGAAAAGAAAACAUAAUUAAUGAUCUUAGUGAUAAGUUGAAAAGUACAAUACAGCAGCAAGAGCGAGAUAAAGAUUUGAUAGAGUCCCUAUCUGAAGAUCGAGCUCGCUUGCUGGAAGAAAAGAAAAAACUUGAGGAAGAAGUCAGUAAGCUGCGUGGUAGCAGUUUUGUACCUUCACCGUAUGUAGCGACAGCCCCAGAACUUUAUGGAGCUUGUGCACCUGAACUCCCAGGUGAAACGGAGAAGUCAGCCAUCGAAACACAAGAUGAAGGAAGAGUGGACUCAGCAAUGGAGACAAGCAUGAUGUCCGUACAAGAAAACAUCCAUAUGCUAUCUGAAGAAAAACAGAGGAUAAUGCUGUUAGAACGAACAUUACAAUUAAAAGAAGAAGAAAACAAGCGGUUAAAUCAAAGACUGAUGUCUCAGAGCAUGUCUUCAGUAUCCUCAAGGCAUUCUGAAAAGAUAGCUAUUCGAGACUUCAGGUGUAUCUAGAAGACCCUGGGUUCUUGGAAAAGUAAUGGAAAAGGAAUACUGUCAAGCCAAAAAGGCACAAAACAGAUUUAAAGUUCCUUUGGGAACAAAGUUUUACAGAGUGAAAGCUGUGUCGUGGAAUAAGAAAGUAUAACUUGGAAGAAAUUAAUACAUUCUGUGACAUUUUCCUGAUUUAUCCUACAGUGUUCAUUCAUCACUCCAAAAACAGCAAGCCAUCUUUUUAUACAAAAGUCAGCGUGACAAUAUGCUUCACUGGUGUACAUCAUUUACUUUUUAACUGGCUACAUACCCUUUAGAACAAUAAAUUUAACAAGACAUUUGGCUGAAUUAAAAUGGUUUUGGUUUUGGUUUUGUUUUUAUCCAAAUGAAAUGCGGACCAAACUCGUUCAUUUUUCAAAGGGCAUACCCUGUGCAUUGUGGCUUAUGAUUAGCCAUAUUAAUUGCCUGUUACAUAUACAUUAGCUUGAACUUAGAUAGUAAAUGUUAGUUGUUAUUACCAGCAUUUGUCCUUUUGUGAAAUCAGUAUCAAAAACUUGCACUCUGAACACAUUCUUUAUAAAAUGUAUAAAUUCUUCAAAACUAUUUAAAGAAAGAGGAGUGUUAUUGCAUGCAGAUAAUCAUAAUUUUGAGUUUGCCUCUGUAGAUUACUAAAGCAAAUUGUUUCAUUUAUUUUUUUAAUGCCCUUUGAUGUUUCAAAACAAAAAGGAACUCAAUUUGAUUGAUUGAUUUUUAAGAUCAGCCAUAAUUAUCAGUCUUUAAAAGCACUUUCAACAGAUCGGUCGCUUGGGUUCUAAAGGGAAGAGUCUGUGCUAUUGACACUUUAAAUGCAGCACGGAAACCUUCCCAACAUCUUUAUUAUUCUGUUAAGAAUAAUUAUAUUGAUGAAAUUAUAAUUCAUGGUUCCGUUUCAGAAAAAACAUAUUCAUUGUACAUUAACUGUUUAGAGGUCAUUUAAAUAACAAAAUAUUGUAUUGUAAAAGACAUGUAGAAUUUUAAAACAAUAAAGAUUUGAACCUGUAAAUGUGUGUGCCUUUUAAGAAGGAUACCUUUUUAAUAUAUUUGAGUGCUUGCGGGAGAUGGGAAAAACUUGUUCUGUAUUAUAUCAAAAGAAACAUGUUAAUUACAAAAAUGUUCUUUAAUUAUAUACUAUGUAACAGGGUAAAACAGUGUUAUGUAGAAUAGAGUUGUGUAAACUAAACUAGAAUUUUAAACAAAUUGCCAUGGAGCAAAGGUAUUUAAAUGAAUUAGUUGAGUUGGAUGAAACUUGUUUCAGGUUUGUUGCUAUAGAGAACAAUAAAUAAAAUGAUUUUCCCCCCAGAAAAUAUUUAAUUUCUUCAUAAAAAUAAGUUAAAUAUUUUUUUAAAUAUGUAUGUCUAAUAGUACAGAAAAUGGAAUAAACACCAUAGUGUAUAGAAAACUGAAUUUGACAUAUUAAUGAAUAAAUGAACAAAUGACUUAA